UGACAAAUGGAGGUGUCUCCUCGGGGAGGGAAGCUUCCUUGAACAUUGCCUUGUUUCCUGUUUUUGCAGUUAUAUUUGCUAAGAGUGUCUGACGCGUAUCAUUUAAUGGGGGCCUCGUCUGCAAACUUUUUUCCCUAGGCAAGCCAGGACUACUACUGACUACUUUCUACGGAGAUGUGGGCUGUGAUAAGUGGUGUCCAAUGCUGGUUGAAGAUAAGAGGCUACAAUUCUGUGGAAAGGAUUCAGAGAAACACGAAUGCCCUCCUUCCUUCCUGCGACCCUGACUUCUUGGACCAGAGAAGCUGACCCAAGAGCCCUUCUCCCA